CCCUUGCCGUCAGGUCCGUUCUGGUGAGACGCCUUCGCCACUGGUGGUCCUUCAAGGAUUACAAGAUUUCACCCCCUACCCCUGAAGUACCUCUCACCUCUCCCGGCCUCGAGCCAGACAGUAUCUCCUGAAAGCCUGACAGUUAAGCUGCCAGAUUUCUCAAGAGACUUAUCCGGCCGGCUACAGACCCUUUAGACCCAAUAAUAACGGUUACCACUCGAGCCGCCGGUGUUACCGCGGCGGCUGGCACCGGUCUUGCCCGGCCCUUGCUAUGAAAUGCUUUUUAGGCAUCACGACAGCCAGAUUUGUAACCUGGCACUCGAGGUUCCCUUAUCGCUGUUGCCAGCAUUGUAAAGUUUUCGCGCCUGCUGCACCCCGUAGGGCCUGGAUUCGUGUCUCAGAAUCCAUCUCCGGGCUCAUGCUCUCACAACCCGUACCCGUCGUAGGCUAGUAGGUACACUACACCCACUACUACCUGAUAGGCCGCAGACCCAUCCUUAGGCGCCGGAGCUUUUAGAUCUCGAUGCAUUCCAGCAGCUCGAGACCUAUAGGGGAUUAUACCCAGUUUCCCGGGUUUAUACCCAACCUAAGGGCAGGUUGUCCACGUGUUACUGAGCAGUACGCCAUGUAUUGCUACAUUCGACUCGCAUGGCUUAGUCGAACCUCGAUAGCAGUAACCUCUGGCAGGAUCAACCGGA
rnacentral:rRNA from 1 species